rnacentral:rRNA from 1 species
AUGGCAACUCAUUCUUUUCGCCAGCCUUAUACAAGAGUGUAUAGUGGUAAAUCAUGUUUUUACCUUCGCGGAAUUUUCUUUUUUUGGCGACUUAGAGAGAAAAGCAGUCCCAAAUGCCCUAGCGCUUGUGCAUAUGUAGAUUUCAUCUGCGUAUUCUUGAGUCUGAAAUGUCAUGUACGUUGGUUAAUGCUGCAAGUAUUGUAUAUCGUCUCUGAGUUAAGAGUUGGAUUUUGUUACGUUUGUGUGCGUUGCCUUUGGGCCUUGGUGAUCCACUCCGGCUCUAUUCAUUUGUCGAUGAAAGAUGUUCUCUUCUAG